CCUGGAGGGAAAGAAAGUGUCCUCUCCUAACCCAGGUUGUGGGUGAGAAGAGCAGCAAGGUGGUAGCUGGGGGAAAACCCAUCUCUGUUCCAUGAAACUUUUGGUGGCAACCUGUACCUAGGAGAGAAGGACCCCUUUUCUUCUCACCUCUCAGUUCUGACUUCCCCACACAAAACUCUUCUGUCAGGCCAAUGCGCAUCUCUGUCACAGAAAAGAACAGAAAAGGCCACCAGAUACCAACAUUCACAUACCACCAAGGAGUCCGUUCCAAACCCCACCCUGGGCUAAGCCUGCAGACUUCUCACCAGAGCCACUGGGAAGAAAGCUCUUGAGCCGGAUCUCUCCCUGCACGUCUACCUUCAGCAGCGAGCCCUGAGAAGAACGGAGAGAUCAAUGUCCCGAGGAAAAACUCAGAGGGUCUGAUGCAUCUCACCUGGUCAGAGCGGCUGGACAGGACAGGGCGGCUGGCUGCACUGCUGGGGGCCACUUUGCUCUGCUGCGUCUCAGCCCCAAACUGUAAAGCACCCAAAGCAAGCAAUCUUCAGGUUUGACACUACCCACCACCCCUCCUCCUCCUCUUUCCCUCGACUGACCAAGCCAACACUGCUGAGGUCAAAGAGACUGAAGGGCUUGCUGACCACAGCCUCUGUCUGGAUGAAGUUUCUCAGCAUCUCUGUGGAUGUGGUCUGCACGUAGCCAUAGUCCUG